CCUACGGGAGGCAGCAGUGGGGAAUCUUGCACAAUGGGCGAAAGCCUGAUGCAGCAACGCCGCGUGAGCGAAGAAGGCCUUUGGGUCGUAAAGCUCUGUCCUAGGGGAAGAAAAAAAUGACGGUACCCGAGGAGGAAGCCCCGGCUAACUACGUGCCAGCAGCCGCGGUAAUACGUAGGGGGCGAGCGUUAUCCGGAAUUAUUGGGCGUAAAGAGUGCGUAGGUGGCUUUGUAAGCGCGGGGUGAAAGGCAGUGGCUUAACCAUUGUUAGCCCUGCGAACUGUGAGGCUUGAGUACAGGAGGGGGAAGCGGAAUUCCUGGUGUAGCGGUGAAAUGCGUAGAUAUCAGGAAGAACACCGGUGGCGAAGGCGGCUUUCUGGACUGUAACUGACACUGAGGCACGAAAGCGUGGGGAGCAAACAGGAUUAGAUACCCGUGUAGUC
rnacentral:rRNA from 1 species